rnacentral:rRNA from 1 species
CCACGGGUGAGUAACGCGUAUCCAACCUGCCGUCUACUCUUGGACAGCCUUCUGAAAGGAAGAUUAAUACAAGAUGGCAUCAUGAGUCCGCAUGUUCACAUGAUUAAAGGUAUUCCGGUAGACGAUGGGGAUGCGUUCCAUUAGAUAGUAGGCGGGGUAACGGCCCACCUAGUCUUCGAUGGAUAGGGGUUCUGAGAGGAAGGUCCCCCACAUUGGAACUGAGACACGGUCCAA